UACGUAGGGUCCGAGCGUUGUCCGGAAUUACUGGGCGUAAAGAGCUCGUAGGUGGUUUGUCGCGUUGUCCGUGAAAACUCACAGCUUAACUGUGGGCGUGCGGGCGAUACGGGCAGACUGGAGUACUGCAGGGGAGACUGGAAUUCCUGGUGUAGCGGUGGAAUGCGCAGAUAUCAGGAGGAACACCGGUGGCGAAGGCGGUUCUCUGGGCAUGUCCUGACGCUGAGGAGCGAAAGUGUGGGGAGCGAACAGG
rnacentral:rRNA from 1 species